rnacentral:rRNA from 1 species
UACGUAGGUGGCAAGCGUUAUCCGGAAUUAUUGGGCGUAAAGAGCGCGCAGGUGGUUAAUUAAGUCUGAUGUGAAAGCCCACGGCUUAACCGUGGAGGGUCAUUGGAAACUGGUUGACUUGAGUGCAGAAGAGGGAAGUGGAAUUCCAUGUGUAGCGGUGAAAUGCGUAGAGACAUGGAGGAACACCAGUGGCGAAGGCGGCUUCCUGGUCUGCAACUGACACUGAGGCGCGAAAGCGUGGGGAGCAAACAGG